rnacentral:tRNA from 1 species
AGUUAAUGAACUUGAAUAAGUAUAUAUUU